UACGAAGGGGGCUAGCGUUGUUCGGAAUUACUGGGCGUAAAGCGCGUGUAGGCGGGCCGUUAAGUCGGGGGUGAAAGCCCGGAGCUCAACUCUGGAACUGCCUUCGAUACUGGCGGCCUGGAGCAUGAUAGAGGCGAGUGGAAUUGCGAGUGUAGAGGUGAAAUUCGUAGAUAUUCGCAGGAACACCAGUGGCGAAGGCGACUCGCUGGAUCAUUGCUGACGCUGAGGCACGAAAGCGUGGGGAGCGAACAGG
rnacentral:rRNA from 1 species